rnacentral:rRNA from 1 species
UACGAAGGGUGCAAGCGUUAAUCGGAAUUACUGGGCGUAAAGCGUGCGUAGGCGGUUUCUUAAGUCUGCUGUGAAAUCCCCGGGCUCAACCUGGGAAUGGCAGUGGAAACUGGGCAGCUAGAGUGUGUCAGAGGAUGGUGGAAUUCCCGGUGUAGCGGUGAAAUGCGUAGAGAUCGGGAGGAACAUCAGUGGCGAAGGCGGCCAUCUGGGACAACACUGACGCUGAAGCACGAAAGCGUGGGGAGCAAACAGG